CAGUCUAUGGUGUGCACACGCUCUGACACCAGAAGUGAUCUCUCGCAAGUAUACGUCACUCAUUGUUAACACAGAGCACGAACAUUGUAGGUACAACGGCUAAUCAAAAUGGUACUUGCGCUUAUCCGGAUUGUUCAAACCGACUUAAAACUAAAAGAUUACGUUCUCUCGCGCAAACUCAUUCGGGAGUGGUGACUUUCCACGUAUUCCCAAUUUCUGAGCCUGCUCGCCUGAAGUUAUGGUUGAUUGCUCUUCGGCUGGAUAUCAACACACCCAUUAACGUAUUAAAGUUGUUGAGGGUCUGCAGCGAUCAUUUUUCCCCUGAUGAUUUUACACACCCAGUAGAGGAUCUCAUACGACUUAAACCAUCAGCUGUGCCUAUGGUUUUUCCACAUCCAACUGAGGCACCAUGUUUAAACUAUGCCAGAGAACGUAACAUUACACACCUCACGCACCGGAUGCUGUGCGCGUGCUUAAGGCAGUUGGACAUGGUGUAUUAGAGAUUUUGUUACCAUUGGCAUGCAUUAUAAGACUGACAGACUGCAACGGUUGGAGUUAAAA